rnacentral:lncRNA from 1 species
GUAGAGUUGAAGGAUGCUUGGGACUUCCUUGGUCAUUCUUUUCUUUCUGUCAGGGGCCACUGGAGAUCUAAAGAACUGCGAUCCUGAUCCGAGAGACGCAAUCAUUUACGCCAACCAGUUGGCUCGUGCCGUCAAGCAUUUCAUGAAAAAUUGCAUGGGCAUAAUGGAGUGCUUCAAGGGUCGACCAAGCAUCAACCUCUUCAUUGAGUUUUUUGGAAAUGGUUGCGACAUAAUGUUGACCUGCGCAAAAAAAAUCGGAACAGAAGAUUUACGUGUAAGUU